AUAUCGAUACAGGACUAAUCCAGGCCCUGUAAUUGGAAUGAGUACACUUCAAAUCCUUUAACGAGGAUCUAUUGGUGGGCAAGUCUGGUGUAGAGCAACUGACCCGUGCAUGCUGCAGCUGAAACUCCACUAUCGCCUG